rnacentral:rRNA from 1 species
GCUGCAUGGCUGUCGUCAGCUCGUGUCGUGAGAUGUUGGGUUAAGUCCCGUAACGAGCGCAACCCUUGUCCUUAGUUACCAGCACGUAAUGGUGGGCACUCUAAGGAGACUGCCGGUGACAAACCGGAGGAAGGUGGGGAUGACGUCUAGUCAUCAUGGCCCUUACGGCCUGGGCUACACACGUGCUACAAUGGUCGGUACAGAGGGUUGCCAAGCCGCGAGGUGGAGCUAAUCCCACAAAACCGAUCGUAGUCCGGAUCGCAGUCUGCAACUCGACUGCGUGAAGUCGGAAUCGCUAGUAAUCGCGAAUCAGAAUGUCGCGGUGAAUACGUUCCCGGGUCUGUACACAC